AAAAACAUGUCCUUUUGAUUUAAAUUUAAGGUCUAACCUGCUCAAUGAGUUUUAAAUAGCCGCAGUAUCUUAACUGUGCAAAGGUAGCAUAAUCAUUAGUUUCUUAAUUAGAAGCUGGAAUGAAGGGUUGAAUGAGAAAAUAACUGUCUCUAUGAAAAUUUUAUAGAAUUUUAUUUUUAAGUUAAAAAGCUUAAAUAUGAAUAAAAGACGAGAAGACCCUAUAGAGUUUUAUAUUUAUAUAUAAUAUUUCUUUUAGUAUUUUAAAAUUUAUUUUAUAUGUAAUAUUUAGUUGGGGUGAUUAGAAAAUUGAAUAAACUUUUCUUUUAUAAGAACAUUUAUUUAUGAAAAUAUGAUCCAUUUUUAUGAUUAUAAGAUAAAAUUACCUUAGGGAUAACAGCGUAAUUUUUUUUGAGAGUUCUUAUCGAAAAAAGAGAUUGCGACCUCGAUGUUGGAUUAAAAUAAAUUUUUGGUGUAGAAGCUAAAUUAAUUAGGUCUGUUCGACCUUUAAAAUUUUACUUGAUCUGAGUU
rnacentral:rRNA from 1 species